GGAUUGACGGACUGAAGGCUCUUUCUCGAUUCCGUGGAAAGUGGUGCAUGGCCGUUUUUGGUUGGUGGAUCGAUCCGUCUGGUUAAUUCCGUUAACGAACGAGACCUCGGCACUCCGAAUAGCGCGGCGGACGUCGCGGCCUCCGGGCCGUCUUCCGCACGAGCUUCUUAGAGGGACCGUCCCCCGCCGGGGAAGGAGGUGCGAGGCAACGACAGGUCUGUGAUGCCCUUAGAUGUUCUGGGCCGCACGCGCAUUACACUGACGCGUCCAACGGGUGACUCCCGACCCGAAGGGGCCGGGGAAUCCGCAAGGCGCGUCGUGAUGGGGAUUGAACGUUGCAAUUGUUGUUCACGAACGAGGAAUUCCUAGUAGGCGCGGGUCAUCAACCCGCGCCGAUUACGUCCCUGCCCUUUGUACACACCGCCCG
rnacentral:rRNA from 1 species